GGACAAACUGAUUGUGCAACUGACUCCACACAAAUCUCAUUUAAUCAGAAAAAAAAAGAAAACCAAAAUCGUAGUAAAUAAAGGAAAUACAAAACCAUGGUGAUCCAGUGUAUGCAAUUUUUAACCCAAAAAGCAAAAUCAACCUUUGCUUCCUCUUUGCCAUAUUUCCUCUUACCUUCUCCCUGUAUCUUUGCUGUUCUGAGGUGGAGAAAGGGCUUAAAUGGAAACUUAUUAGAUUCUCUGUUUUCAGUGGAUGCUGAAUGGUAAGUAAGUGGAUGGGUUAUUCCUGGACUGUAAAGUAUUUCUCUCUUCUCUGGGAGUAUACUGAUUUAAGGAAUAGGUGACAACAGCCAGGAGAGCCAUGUAACUCUGUCUGUCUGUCUUACUUUCUUUUUGUUGUAAGGUGUUGAAUUAUUGGAAUGAGAUCUAUGUUUAACUCUGGGGGAAUUUGAUUGAUAAAGGCCUUAACAUUCAGACAAUUAUUAUGCCUAUAACUCUCCUUGAGUUUCACAACAGAAUAAAGCAAGUACUCUUUUACUGUGUAAGUUUUAAAAUAAAUACUACUGAGAUCCCUGAGUGGGUAGUCAUUUGUAGUGUUGUUCUUGACAUGGACUUCAGUUUUCUAAUUGAGAAAAAGUCAGAGAGAUGAGAAAACGGAGAACGCUUGGUAUUGAUUGGUAGAAUUUUAUAAAAUUGCUGAUCAUGAAGGGAUCUUGGGGUAAAUAACAUCAGCCCCUCAAACUUACAGAAAAAGGAAUAGAAGGUCAAAGUCACACCUGUAAUGUCACAUUAUGAAUGGUAGAAUUAGGGCCAGAGAGUGCAAGUGAGUUUCAUGUUACCAGAAGUUACAGACUCCAAAGUUAUUUUGGUUUUUGGAAAUAGUGACUGAUGUGAUAUUGGUAUUUAAAUGUAUAUUCUUAAACUCUUUUUCAUUUCCCUCUUCCUGUCUCUCUAGAGCUCUGCCUUCAUGCUUCUCUUUUUUUUUCUGUUUGUUCUAUUGUCUUUGAAGAAUGUGCAAUCUCAUAAACAAAAGGAACAACUUUUAGAAAUGAAGAUAACUUCAGGUUUUUUCCUCUUUUUUCAAGGAUCAUUUGCGAGCAAUUGAGAAUCCAUGUUAGAGUCAAACAUGAAUUUCCGUGUAUAGAAAUUCCAUGUAUAGAGAUCCAUUUAAGUCAUAAAUUAAGGUAAUGGGGCAUGAGAUUUCUUUAAAACACAUUUUCAGAACUGGCUUCCAAAAGGUGAUACCCACCAUAUAUCAGUUUCUAAGAGAGUCUGGAAAGAUGCAACCCACUGAAUUAGUUUACACUUCCUAUCCAAUGGUCUUCGAAAGUAUUUAGCUGUAUUUUCCCUGUGAGUAUACUCUGCCUGGAAAUUACUUUCGGAAUUAGCUACCAUACCUCUUUCUGGUCACUAGGGUGUCAUUGAACAAAUUGCUCCUAAGUGUUCUUUAGUGGCUGGAAAGAAUUAAGUUGAGAAUCUCAAUAUAAUUUUUAAAAAGAAGACAACUCCAUAUUGCAAACAUUUCUGAAAAGUAAUUCCAUUGUUAGGUUUGUUCAUUCAUUCAGCAAACAUAUACUGAAACAUAUACCUAUCAUAGGGUAGGUUCUUUAUUAGGCACUGGAGAAACAAGAUUAAAGUAAUCCCUGACUCCCAAAAGGUAAGUCUAGCAAGACAGUAGCAAGUCACAUUUAAAUAUAAUGUAAAAUUGCCUAGAAAGAGGCAUCCACAGGGUUGCCUAAGUAGAUUGGGCUGUAGUGCUAGAAGUGGUGUCAUGGUAGAAUGAUGGUGAUGGGGUGGUUGGAUGGUAGGGAAAGAGAGGGAGAUGGUGGUAGCAGUAGUAGAGUGGUGGAGGUUGGUGUUGAUGGCUGGGGUGGGGAUCUGAGAAAGCUUCUUGAAGAAGGUAAUUUUUCAAUUGAACACUGAAGGAUAAAUAGCAAUUAGUCAAAUGGAAGAGUAGCAUGUUUCCUUAUUCUUGCCCCUGAGUGCCCCAAACAUAUAUGCAAUGUAUUUCAUUUCAAAUUCCAACUUAUGUGACAUGAGAACAACUCUGAGAGAUUCUUCAAGUUCUCAUCCUAAAACUUGGCUUGGCUCUUCUGAUGUGUGGUAUGCAUCGUCACAACUCUCUGUACAUUUGUAACCUAUUCCACUGGAGAAUGUAUUAUACACCACAAUUUUUGCCCUCCUGUCAGUGUUUGAUUCAAAGCAUUAUCUUCUCCAUCGCCUUUGCUCUAGCAAAAAGUAUACCAUGCAUCAUCAGACCACCUAGUAACACUGACAGUUUUAUAUAUCCCUGAGAAAUCACUUUUGUAGCUGAAAGGCCCAAAAAGUUGUAGAGCAGAAUUUUGGAGAAAUAAGCAAAAUAAAGACAACCUGUUAAAUUCUCUAGUGGUGAUGCACUUUACAAAAGUAGCAUUCAGGGGACUAAGGUCACUGAGGUGAGAAAAAUGAUGCAUGAGGCUGUCACAGAAAUCUCAUCUGUGUACUACAACUUUUAAUCUGUUCCAGGUCAGUAGGGAUUUAAAACGCCUGGAAAACAGGAAUGGGGCAGUCAGGACAUUCCUCAAGGGAUCCUCAAAAGAAAUAUAGACUUUUUAUGUCUUUCUUGCCAUAGAGACCAUGAAACCAUGAAGUUCUUGACACCUGGACACAUACUGGUCUCUGCUUAACACACCAACACAUCUGCUUCUGAUCUUCUAGCAGUUGUUUUCAUUUUAGUUUCCAUCAACAUGUUCUCUGUUUUACUAAUAAGUAUUAUUCUCUUCAACAGCUUUCCUAAUCACCUAUCUCUCUAUCUACCUAUCUAUUUCUUGAUCAUCCGCAAAAUUGAUUGGCGAUAGAAGACACUACCUAUCUGUAGUACUGACUUGAAUUGAAAUGAAAAAUCAGGCAAGUAGUGGUGAGUGUUUUCUAAUAUUGAUAGCUAUUAUUUAGUGAGUGCUUAUUCUGUGCCAGGCAUUGUCUAGUUGAUUAAAGGAUAAUUUCCCAUGUAUAAUACACCUUCCAGGUGUGUGUUAUUAUCAUUUCACAAAUAAUACAUAUGUAUAAAGGUAAAAGGAUUUCAAAGACCAUGUAUUAGAAAGUAGGAAAAGCAGAAUUUCAACCCGAGCCAAUGUUCUUUCCGCCACAUCCAAUCAAUUUUAAUCUUUCAUAGAUGUACAUGACUUAGAAAUGUUCUAAUUAGCCUUCACUACACUUGAACUACAGAUGCUUUCUAAAUGUGAAGCAGAUAAAUCGGAUCAUUUCAAGAAAUUUAGAUAUAUGACCCUUAGACUGAAAAGUUUAAAAGUAGUAAUGCAGGAGACUUUGUAGUGGAGGGAUUCAAAUGGAAUUUUCACUUUAAGCCUUCUUUGGAAGUAAUAUAUUUUUGUUUUUCAAGUCCGGAACAAAGAAAGAACAAAGAUGAUUUGAUGUAGUGCAGCAGUUUGAAGAUAGGUAAGCUGGGGGAGAGUGAGUAGGGUUAGCAGUGAUGCAGACCUGAAGGUGUUCAGGGCAUGCCAAGGGAUUCCAUAAUAUCACAUGCUUCACAGGUGACCAUGCCAACGCAGCAGA
rnacentral:lncRNA from 10 species